CCAACAUGAGACUUUUAACAUGUUUUGUCUUCACUCACACGUUUUCUGAAAACACUUCCCAGAAGGCUACUCAUCCCAUAAUUGCUUCAAGGCAAACACACUUAACUUUGGAGUUCUUAAGUGACGGACUACCAAAAAGGAGAUGCAUCUUGUUAGUAUAGGUAAUAUCAAUUAAUUUUUUUAAGUCAUCCUCAAUUGUACAGUUUCAUACUUGUAUAGAGGGAUCCAAAGAUUGUACAAGUAUGAUAUUGUACAAUUGAAGAUGACUUAAAGGAAUUAAUUAGUAUUAUCUAUACAACAAAAUGCAUAUACUUUUUGGUAGCCUAUUACUUAAGAACUCCACAAUUAAGCAUGCUUAUCUUGGAGCAAUUAAGGGAUGAGUGACCUUGUCGGAAGUUUCCAAGAAAGCGUGUGAAUGAGGACAAAACACGUUGAAAAGUCUCGUGUUAG
rnacentral:pre_miRNA from 1 species